AUCAUUACAGAGUUACUACUCCAAAACCCAUUGUGAACCUUACCUAUGUUCUGUUGCCUCGGCGGCGUGGUCAGCGCCCCCUCUGAAAAGAGGACGAUGCCCUCCCGCCGGCAGCACCAAACUCUUGAAUUUUACAGCGGAUUACAGUUCUGAUUUGAAAAGAAAAAACAAGUUAAAACUUUCAACAACGGAUCUCUUGGUUCUGGCAUCGAUGAAGAACGCAGCGAAAUGCGAUAAGUAAUGUGAAUUGCAGAAUUCAGUGAAUCAUCGAAUCUUUGAACGCACAUUGCGCCCGGCAGUAAUCUGCCGGGCAUGCCUGUCCGAGCGUCAUUUCAACCCUCGAACCUCCGUUUCCUCAGGGAAGCUCAGGGUCGGUGUUGGGGCGCUACGGCGAGUCUUCGCGACCCUCCGUAGGCCCUGAAAUACAGUGGCGGUCCCGCCGCGGUUGCCUUCUGCGUAGUAAGUCUCUUUUGCAAGCUCGCAUUGGGUCCCGGCGGAGGCCUGCCGUCAAACCACCUAUAACUCCAGAUGGUUUGACC
rnacentral:rRNA from 1 species